rnacentral:rRNA from 1 species
UAACCUGCCCAAGAGAUCGGGAUAACACCUGGAAACAGAUGCUAAUACCGGAUAACAACAGAUGAUGCCUAUCAACUGUUUAAAAGAUGGUUCUGCUAUCACUCUUGGAUGGACCUGCGGUGCAUUAGCUAGUUGGUAGGAUAACGGCCUACCAAGGCGAUGAUGCAUAGCCGAGUUGAGAGACUGAUCGGCCACAUUGGGACUGAGACACGGCCCAAACUCCUACGGGAGGCAGCAGCC